rnacentral:rRNA from 1 species
AUUGAACGCUGGCGGCGUGCCUAACACAUGCAAGUCGAGCGGUAACAGGUGUAGCAAUACAUGCUGACGAGCGGCGGACGGGUGAGUAACGCUUGGGAAUCUGCCUAUUAGUGGGGACAACCCGGGGAAACGUCGGGCUAAUACCGCAUACGCUCUACGGAGGAAAGCCGGGACCGCAAGGCCUGGCGCUAAUAGAUGAGCCCAAGUCGGAUUAGCUAGUUGGUAGGGUAAUGGCCUACCAAGGCGACGAUCCGUAACUGGUCUGAGAGGACGACCAGUCACACCGGAACUGAGACACGGUCCGGACUCCUACGGGAGGCAGCAGUGGGGAAUAUUGGACAAUGGGGGCAACCCUGAUCCAGCAAUGCCGCGUGAGUGAAGAAGGCCUUAGGGUUGUAAAGCUCUUUCGGCGGGGACGGAUGAUGACGGUACCCGCAGAAGAAGCCCCGGCUAACUCCGU